rnacentral:misc_RNA from 1 species
GAUGAAGAACGCAGUGAAAUGCGAUACGUAAUGUGAAUUGCAAAUUCAGUGAAUCAUCGAGUCUUUGAACGCACAUUGCGCCCCCUGGUAUUCCGGGGGGCAUGCCUGUCCGAGCGUCAUUGCUGCCCUCAAGCACGGCUUGUGUGUUGGGCCCCGUCCUCCGAUCCCGGGGGAAGGGCGCGAAAGGCAGCGGCGGCACCGCGUCCGGUCCUCGAGCGUAUGGGGCUUUGUCACCCGCUCUGUAGGCCCGGCCGGCGCUUGCCGAUCAACCCAAAUUUUUUAUCCAGGUUGACCUCGGAUCAGGUAGGGAUACCCGCUGAACUUAAGCAUAUCAAUAAGCGGAGGA